CGCGGGAUAGAGCAGUUGGUAGCUCGUUGGGCUCAUAACCCAAAGGUCGUCAGUUCGAGUCUGGCUCCCGCUA
rnacentral:tRNA from 1 species